rnacentral:rRNA from 1 species
AGAGUUUGAUCCUGGCUCAGCCUGAACGCUGGCGGCGUGGCUAAGACAUGCAAGUCGCACGGUGUAGCAAUACACAGUGGCGAACGGGUGAGUAAUGUGUCGCUAACGUGCCCCGGACUCCGGGAUAGCUACCCGAAAGGGUAGGUAAUACCGGGUAACAUACCUGGCAGGCAUCUGCCGGGUCUCAAAGGUCCGCCGGUCCGGGAGCGGGCGACAUCGUAUCAGCUAGUUGGUGGGGUAACGGCCCACCAAGGCGACGACGCGUAGCGGGACUGAGAGGUCGGCCCGCCACAUCGGGACUGAGACACUGCCCGGACUCCUACGGGGGGCUGCAGUAACGAAUCUUCCCCAAUGCACGAAAGUGUGAGGGAGCGACGCCGCGUGUGGGACGAAGUCCUUCGGGAUGUAAACCACUGUCAGGGGUUACCAAGUUCUGAGGAGCCCCAGAGGAAGUGGCGGCUAACUCUGUGCCAGCAGCCGCGGUAAGACAGAGGCCACGAGCGUUAGGCGGAAUCACUGGGCUUAAAGCGUGUGUAGGCGGACCGUUAAGUGCCCGUGUGAAAUCCCCCGGCUCAACCGGGGAACGGCCGGGCAUACUGGCGGYYUUGGGCCAACUAGGGGUCAUCGGAACAAACGGUGGAGCGGUGAAAUGCGUAGAUAUCGUUUGGAACGCCGACGGUGAAAACAGAUGACUGGGGUUGUGCCGACGCUGAGACACGAAAGCCAGGGGAGCAAACGGGAUUAGAUACCCCGGUAGUCC